rnacentral:lncRNA from 1 species
GAAAAAUAAGGAAUGUCUCACUUAAAACAUAAUAUUAUGAGUGAUGUUAUUUUGUAUGAAACAAAACAUGCAGGAUACACACGAAUAGGCACGUGGACGGCACACUUUUUAAAAAUAAUAUUAAAUGUAAUUUGACGGGAAAACAUCAUUAGUGUGGGAGUGACGAAAAUCAUUUUCGUACUAAACAGUAUUUCCCUAAUAUUAUUGUCCUUUAGGUCUAACGCAAGCAUAUAAUAGUAGACUGAAGUUACAGAACUGCAUGCGCAGUUCUCUCUCUCUAUAUAUAUAUAUGGAUACCCACUUCAAUUCACUUCAACGACGCAUGCCCUGUUCGACUGAUGGAGCUGUUGUAGUCAUGGCUACUCCCGGACUUCGUUGCUCACCAUUUCCAUACCAAGUUCAAAGGAAAGUAAAUUAAAUAAGAAAGGUAUUUCUCUGUAAAAUAAGAAAUUUGUUUUCAUUUAUUCUUUUUGCGAGAUACUUUGCAUUUCGGGGUAUUUAAAACAUUAAUAAGCAUGAGUGUACGUUAUCAUAAAUUUUAUGAAGCGAGUCUUACAAUCGGAAAAGCAGCAGCAACAGAGGCUGUUGGACUGAUUGGCUACGACAGGUGGUGGUGUUGGGUAAUCAUUUCCAACCAAGUAUAUAUUGUAAUACCGCAUUUAUAGAGGUACUAUAGUAAUUAACAAGUGGUAUCAUCUGCCUUACAUAAAUUUCACAAUAUGUUAUAGAUAUUAUAAUAGUGAUUAAUCAUUCUCAUUUAGAGUUUGAUAUUAACUGAAAAUACAAGUUUAAAAUUAUUAAAGGUAAAAUUUUUUUUAUUUGUGAAUAACACAGGUUUGAAAUUACUAAAGGUGAAAUUUUUUUUUAUUUGUGAAUAACACACUAGAUGAAGAUAUGUUAAAUAUUAAAUAAACAAAAAAUAACCCAAAAUGACUUAUAUUUUGGUAUAAUUUUUUUAAUUUAUUGACUCAGUCAUAAAUUCGAAAAUUUAUUUAAAAUUUAUAAAGUUUAUCCAAAAUCUACUAAAAAAAAUUUAAGUUUAGUGGAAAGUUUGAUAGACAUAAGUGACUCAUUCUUCAAACAUUAUUGUCCUUGAGGUCUAAUAGAAGCAUCGUAGAAACACGUAUUGCUUAGUUACAGAACUGCAUUUAUUACAUUACUCUAUACUUAGGGAUCCUCACUUCAACGGUUCAUGCCCUGUUCGACUGGUGGAGCUGUUGCAACAGUCAUGGCUACUCCCCGACUUCUCUGCUCAACAUUUCC